rnacentral:rRNA from 1 species
AAAGAGUUCUAUAACUCCCAAACCCAUGUGAACAUACCUAACGUUGCCUCGGCAGGUCGCACCUACCUUGUAGCACCCUACCCUGUAGGGCCUACCCGGGAGGUGCGGGUAAGCCUGCCGGCGGCCCACCAAACUCUGUUUGAUAUUGAAUUCUGAACCUAUAACUAAAUAAGUUAAAACUUUCAACAACGGAUCUCUUGGUUCUGGCAUCGAUGAAGAACGCAGCGAAAUGCGAUAAGUAAUGUGAAUUGCAGAAUUCAGUGAAUCAUCGAAUCUUUGAACGCAUAUUGCGCCCAUUAGUAUUCUAGUGGGCAGGACCGUUCGAGCGUCAUUUCAACCCUUAAGCCUUCGUUGCUUAGUGUUGGGAGCCUACGGCAACGUAGCUCCUCAAAGUUAGUGGCGGAGUUGGUUCACACUCUAGACGUAGUAAUUUUUUAUCUCGCCUAUUAGUUGGACUAAUCCCCUGCCGUAAAACCCCCAAUUUAUCAAGGUUGACCUCGAAUCGGUUCAGACAAACUCGCUAAAUUGAAGCAUCUUAGUCAGCGAAGGAAAAGAAACCAACAGGGAUUGCCCUAGUAACGGCGAGUGAAGCGGCAACAGCUCAAAUUUGAA